GCUGGAGGUGGAGUCCAACUCUUCUACUCUCAUAGACGUCCUUUAUCAAUCUCCUGUUCACAGAGGAACUAUAUUUACUCUUGAGGGGGGAGCGUGUUCUGCGCUGAUAAAAUUCAAGACUCCGGAGAAUGUUCCCACCUGCUUCAAGACAGCCACCAUUGUCACCGUACCUAAAAAGACUGCAGUGUCUAGUUUGAAUGACUAUCUCCCUGUGGCACUGCAUUCUGAUGAAGUGCUUUGAGAAAUUGGUUCUUAAGCACAUAAAGGACAACAUCCAGCCAGCCUGGACCCUAAAUAUGCCAUCUCCACUGCCCUCUACUCAGGCCUCAUACACAACACCUACAUCAGAAUGCUGUUUCUGGAUUUCAGUUCAGCAUUCAACACAAUCUCCCCCAUGAAACUGCCUCAGCACUCUGGGUUUGAGUAUAACACUCUGCAACUGGAUAUUGCACUUCUUCACAAACAGACCCCAGACAGUUCAGUUUGGCAGCCACACCUCAAUACCGGAGGCCCUCUGGGCUGUGUGCUCAGCCCCCUCCUGUUCACGCUGUACACCAACAACUGCAACCCCCAACAUGUUGACAACUGUGAAGUUUGCGUAUAACACCAACAUCAUCGGAUUUCAAACAACAAUGAGGCUUCGGAAGGAAAUUGAUAAUCUUGCUAAGUGGCGCAGAGAACAACCUACUGCUCAACAGCAGCAAAACCAAGGAGCUGAUCAAUGAUUUUUGGAAAAAGGAGAUAAAGACACACUCCUGUUUACAUCAGUGGAGCUGAGUUGGAGCAGGUGAACAGUUUUAGGUUCCUGGGAAUCACAGAGAAUCUGACAUGGUCAUCUCACAACUCCAUGCUCGUGAAGAAAGCUAAAAAAUGGCUGUAUUUCUUAAGGAAACUUAAGAAGGCAAAAUGUCCAUGCCAAAUUCUUGUCACCUUUUACAGAGAACCAAUAGAAGGCUUCCUGACUGGAAACUUCACCAAUUGACAUGGGAUGUGCACAGCCCAGGAAAGGAGGGAUCUUCAGCGGAUAAUUAAAAUCACUCAGAAGAUCUUUGGUACCCAGCUCCGAACAUCAGUGAUAUGAGUGAAGCGAGGUGCCUGCACAGAGCCCAAAGGAUACUAAAAGAUAGUAGGCUACCAACCCCAGUCACAGCCUGUUCACCCUGCCGCCAUCUGGCAAGAGAUCCAGAAAUAUCUGCUGUCGCACCACCAGACUACAGAGCAGCUUCUUCCCCGAGGCUUUAGACUUAAAUUCAUCCUGAGCACUGAACCAUGAAAAAUAUUUUAUUUCUGUAUAUCAUUUUUAUAAUUUAUGUAUAUAACGUUUACUUUGUAGCUAAGGGAACUACAAACUGCAUCUCAUUUUACAAUCUUUUUGUAAUAGGCAAAUAAAUGUACCUUGUACAUCAUCCCUUGUAUAUGGACAGUCCAAAUGACAUUGAAAAAUUAGGAGAUGAUCAGUAAUAAACACUGAUGGAAAAUACUGAGAUGGAUAGAGUAAAGGAGACUAAAGUCUGAAAAGGAAUCUAGAUACACACACAAACUGCAGUGGAAACAAAGUGGAGACAAACAGCAACCUUCAUUGCAGCAGAAAAACAUGUGGCAGAAAUGACCAGAGUGGAGGAGGUGUGGGAUCCACAGGGAGUCAGGCUAACACACAGUGCAGGUGUCAGAGCUGAGACCUUUCAUUAUAAGAGCUAAUAGGAUUGUCAUUAUGACAAGAGGCAAAUUAAAUGUGCAAGACCUCCUCGCUCCUCCAGACGUCUCAGGUGCAACUCUAAGCGUCUUCCCAGAGCUCAUUAAAACUCUGACCAGCAGCACAAGACUGAAGAAUAGUAUGAAUAGAAUAUAUUUUUGUCUUUUUCUUUGAUGGACAAUAUGUCUAGGUCUGAGUUCUGCCUUUUGGUUCCAGCUAAUUUAAGGUUGUUUAGGAUCUUACUACUAUCACAAAACAGGUUGUAUUUAAAAACAAUGCAAAAAAAACAUGUUUGUGUUAGGAACCCCAACUCCAAAAUAGUAAAAUAACAAUCUGUGUGUUGUUUGGUUAUGCACAUUAUUAGCAUCUCAGAAAUGUCUUGAGAUACAUACUUUGUUUUUAAUUUGUGUGUGGAACGGUAUUCUAUAGCAAACUCUGAAAAUAGAUUUUGUGUUUCCUCUCUUAGAAAUGUGCAACAAUGUUACUAUGACAGCAUCGUAGUGUGGUUUGAAUUAGGCAGUGACCAUAAGACCUGGUGGUGUUAAUUGCAGAUUGACCUGGUUUUCGCAGGGCUCUGAUUAAAGUGAUACACUCCUCUGAGUCUUGCCCCACUAAGCCCCUGUCAUACUACAGUGCAUCACAUUACCAUGCUGUCCCUCAAUAUCCUUAUAAGAUACGUUCCUUUUCCUGAAUUUCAAAUCAAAGGGGUUAAAAUGGAGUUACAGAGAUCAAAUAUUAAAUAUAACUUACAUUUUUAUUAAUUUCCCUUUAGGGAGUAGUAGCGUUUUGUUCUGUCCAAUUACAAACCCAUAUGUAAUGCACUUUUCUGUUGUUUCUCCUACAGGAUGUAAAGAAAAUGGGGAAAAUACUAUGAACCAAAUCUGGAAUACCUUCAUCUGUGCCUUUACAUGUGCAUUUGCAUGACAUAGAAGCCAAAGACAGCCAGUAUUCUGUAGAUGUUUCACAAGUCCUCUCCUCAUGUCUGACUAAUUGUAACUUGUAAGUCAGGCACCUACAGACAGUGUGUGCUGCAGGGAUCAGGAGUGACUACCCAAUCUCCAAAUUCUCCUUUAAUCCUUUUCUCUUCCCACUCCCUCUGCUCUACUCAGAUCAAGUCAGACUGCAGGAAGUGUAAGCCCCAUCCAAAGUGUGAGAUCUUAUAAAACCAAUCUGACAUGAGUGAGAUAGUAUCCACUUUUUAUCUUCACCAACCUCAGCUUUUUUCAGUUUUUAAGUACCCGAAAUAUCCCAAAAUAGAUUUUUCACAUCAGUUGCUCAUUAUAAUGAUAAGACGUGAAAGGUAGACAUGAAGAUUCCAACUGCAAGAUGGAUUUGAUAGGUACUGUGACAGUCUAAAUAAAUUCGUUGAAAGGCUUUCUCCUUAA